GAUGAACGCUAGCGGCAGGCUUAACACAUGCAAGUCGAGGGGUAACAGGGAUAGCUUGCUAUUUGCUGACGACCGGCGCACGGGUGCGCAACGCGUAUACAAUCUACCUUUUGCUAAGGUAUAGCCCAGAGAAAUUUGGAUUAAUCCCUUAUGGUAUGUAAAGAUGUCAUCAUUUUCACAUUAAAGGUUACGGCAAAAGAUGAGUAUGCGUCCUAUUAGCUAGAUGGUAUGGUAACGGCAUACCAUGGCGACGAUAGGUAGGGGCCCUGAGAGGGGGAUCCCCCACACUGGUACUGAGACACGGACCAGACUCCUACGGGAGGCAGCAGUGAGGAAUAUUGGGCAAUGGAGGCAACUCUGACCCAGCCAUGCCGCGUGCAGGAAGACUGCCCUAUGGGUUGUAAACUGCUUUUAUACAGGAAGAAACACUCUCUCGUGAGGGAGUUUGACGGUACUGUAAGAAUAAGGAUCGGCUAACUCCGUGCCAGCAGCCGCGGUAAUACGGAGGAUCCAAGCGUUAUCCGGAAUCAUUGGGUUUAAAGGGUCCGUAGGUGGAUAAUUAAGUCAGAGGUGAAAUCCUGCAGCUCAACUGUAGCAUUGCCUUUGAUACUGGUUAUCUUGAGUUAUUAUGAAGUAGUUAGAAUAUGUAGUGUAGCGGUGAAAUGCAUAGAUAUUACAUAGAAUACCGAUUGCGAAGGCAGAUUACUAAUAAUCAACUGACACUGAUGGACGAAAGCGUGGGGAGCGAACAGGAUUAGAUACCCUGGUAGUCCACGCCGUAAACGAUGGUCACUAGCUGUUUGGACUUUAAGUCUGAGUGGCUAAGCGAAAGUGAUAAGUGACCCACCUGGGGAGUACGUUCGCAAGAAUGAAACUCAAAGGAAUUGACGGGGGCCCGCACAAGCGGUGGAGCAUGUGGUUUAAUUCGAUGAUACGCGAGGAACCUUACCAGGGCUUAAAUGUAAGUUGCAUUAGU
rnacentral:rRNA from 1 species